CGGACGGGUGAGUAACGCGUGAGAAUCUGGCUUCAGGUCUGGGACAACCACUGGAAACGGUGGCUAAUACCGGAUGUGCCGAAAGGUGAAAGGUUAACUGCCUGAAGAUGAGCUCGCGUCUGAUUAGCUAGCUGGUAGAGUAAAAGCCUACCAAGGCGACGAUCAGUAGCUGGUCUGAGAGGACGAUCAGCCACACUGGGACUGAGACACGGCCCAGACUCCUACGGGAGGCAGCAGUGGGGAAUUUUCCGCAAUGGGCGAAAGCCUGACGGAGCAAUACCGCGUGAGGGAGGAAGGCUCUUGGGUCGUAAACCUCUUUUCUCAGGGAAGAACACAAUGACGGUACCUGAGGAAUAAGCAUCGGCUAACUCCGUGCCAGCAGCCGCGGUAAUACGGAGGAUGCAAGCGUUAUCCGGAAUGAUUGGGCGUAAAGCGUCCGCAGGUGGCAAUGUAAGUCUGCUGUUAAAGAGUCUAGCUCAACUAGAUAAGAGCAGUGGAAACUACAUAGCUAGAGUACGUUCGGGGCAGAGGGAAUUCCUGGUGUAGCGGUGAAAUGCGUAGAGAUCAGGAAGAACACCAGUGGCGAAGGCGCUCUGCUAGGCCGUAACUGACACUGAGGGACGAAAGCUAGGGGAGCGAAUGGGAUUAGAUACCCCAGUAGUC
rnacentral:rRNA from 1 species